rnacentral:rRNA from 1 species
CCUCAGACAUGCAAGUCGAACGCGAAAGUCCCCUUCGGGGGAUAAGUAGAGUGGCGUCCGGGUGAGUAACACGUAGGUAAUCUACCUUUGGGUGGGGAAUAACGCAGGGAAACUUGCGCUAAUACCGCAUAAUGCAGCGGCACCACAUGGUGACAGUUGUUAAAGCGGGGGAUUUUCGAACCUCGCGCCUAAAGAGGAGCCUGCGGCAGAUUAGCUAGUUGGUAAGGUAACGGCUUACCAAGGCAACGAUCUGUAGCCGGCCUGAGAGGGCGGUCGGCCACACUGACACUGACAUACGGGUCAGACUCCUACGGGAGGCAGCAGUCGGGAAUUUUGGGCAAUGGGCGAAAGCCUGACCCAGCAACGCCGCGUGAAGGAUGAAAUCCCUCGGGAUGUAAACUUCGCAAGAAUGGGAAGAAUUAGUAGGGGCUAAUACCCUCUAUGAUGACGGUACCAUUUGUAAGCUCCGGCUAACUCCGUGCCAGCAGCCGCGGUAAUACGGGGGGAGCAAGCGUUGUUCGGAUUUACUGGGCGUAAAGGGCGCGUAGGCGGUCAGCACAAGUCAGUUGUGAAAUCUCCGGGCUUAACUCGGAAAGGUCAACUGAUACUGUGCGACUAGAGUGCGGAAGGGGCAACUGGAAUUCUCGGUGUAGCGGUGAAAUGCGUAGAUAUCGAGAGGAACACCUGCGGCGAAGGCGGGUUGCUGGGCCGACACUGACGCUGAUGCGCGAAAGCCAGGGGAGCGAACGGGAUUAGAUACCCCGGUAGUCCUGGCCUUAAACGAUGGAUGCUUGGUGUCUGGAGUUUUAUAGUCUCCGGGUGCCGUAGCUAACGCGUUAAGCAUCCCGCCUGGGGAGUACGGUCGCAAGACUGAAACUCAAAGGAAUUGACGGGGACCCGCACAAGCGGUGGAGCAUGUGGUUCAAUUCGACGCAACG